GAUGAACGCUAGCUACAGGCUUAACACAUGCAAGUCGAGGGGCAGCGGGAUUGAAGCUUGCUUCAAUUGCCGGCGACCGGCGCACGGGUGAGUAACGCGUAUCCAACCUUCCGUACACUCAGGGAUAGCCUUUCGAAAGAAAGAUUAAUACCUGAUGGUAUGAUGAGAUCGCAUGGUAUCAUCAUUAAAGAUUUAUCGGUGUACGAUGGGGAUGCGUUCCAUUAGGUAGUAGGCGGGGUAACGGCCCACCUAGCCUACGAUGGAUAGGGGUUCUGAGAGGAAGGUCCCCCCACAUUGGAACUGAGACACGGUCCAAACUCCUACGGGAGGCAGCAGUGAGGAAUAUCGGUCAAUGGACGAGAGUCUGAACCAGCCAAGUAGCGUGAAGGAUGAAGGUCCUACGGAUUGUAAAACUUCUUUUAUAAGGGAAUAAAACCUCCACGUGUGGGAGCUUGUAUGUACCUUAUGAAUAAGCAUCGGCUAACUCCGUGCCAGCAGCCG
rnacentral:rRNA from 1 species